UCCCCUUUAAGUUUCCAUAGAGAGGCCUCCGGGUGUCACAUGAUGGACAUGAUAUAACGAAACAACAUCGUGGGGAGGGACGGAGGGAAGCAGUGGGGGAGCCCGGGGAGGCGUCGGGGAGGUGGCGGUGCCCCCCGACCCGCCCGCCCCGGCUGCACCUGUCUCGGCGCGCCGGGAGCGCGGUGUCCGCCCCGCUGAUGGGGCUGCGGGCGGCACCUUCCCCCGGGGAGGAGGAGAAGGAGGAGGAGAAGGAGGCGAGCCGGUGGCGGAGCAGAGAUUCUUAACCUUUGACCAAAAGCGAGUCCUGUGGAAGUCAUUCAAGGCGGCGCAUUAAGAUAAUCAUUCAGAUUUUGAGAGCAAUGAAAACAGAUCAAUACUGACUUCUUGUUCCGUUUUCUGUGACUGUUCCACGUCCUCCUGCUGCUGCUGCAGCCAACGUGGAUCCGAAUGCCGUGGCUACAAAGGCUUGUCACUGUCUCAUGCUGGGUCCCUCACAUCCAAGAGCUACUUGGCAGUUUCCAAGGCAACCACCUGUGGAAUAAUUAAAAAGGAUGAAGUGUUAGCGUGCCACAUAUAAGGAAUUCUUGCCUGGAGAGAGCAUUUCACUUUCUUCCGUCUUGAAGAAUCAAAACGUGCUUCUGCCAGCAAAGUUAAGAAAAAGAAACAGUGGCUGAGUUGCACAAGUGAACCAGGACGAUGCAAAAUUAAGUCAAAGAGGAGUGCUCGUUUUCCUAUUUUUAGCUUAAAGCAGCAUUUGAGAAUUUGGUAUCACUGUAAGUCAUCUGACAGGGCUGUGACGUUCCUGGCUUCCCUUCUGAGAAGGAAAACAUCCCAAAUAACUGCCUGGAAUAAGUCAGAUGAAUCAUGUCAUGCAAGUGACAGUUUCUUUGCACUGACUUUAAAGGAGUUCCCUGUGACUAACCCAGAUAUCAACAUCUGUGCUGCAGUUCACCCAGUGCCAUCUGCCACGGUGUCUGCGAUGUAUUUCAGUCCUGACGAAAUCCCCCUUCCUCAGCGGUACCUCCGCACGCUGUCGUAAGGAUGAUGUGACAAGCAAAGCUGGCAAGUUGUUCCCACCUUUGUUGCCAAUUAUAAAGCAGUGUAAAGAGGCAAAUUCUGACAGCUUGUGUCCUUAGAGGUGUUUGAAUACUGAACUCGUAGUGAAAUCAUCAGCAGUGAGGCUCUUGAGCAUCCCUGAGGCUCUGGGCUGGGCUCUCUGCUCACCUUUUGCUCAAGUAGUCUUUGCCUGACAUUCAUCACUUCUUCGCCUGACUCAGAUGUGUAUUUAAAGCUGCUGAUUAUUCAUCAGCAUCAAAACAUUUACUUGUGGAUACAGAGAGCACAGUUCCGUGUAAAAAGGAAUAAGUUUUCAGCUGGUUUGUUUUCUAAUCCUGGAGAAAUCUGCAAGGUCAGUGAGCCUGGCGUGUGUAAUGGGUCUCCUCACGGCUGCCAAACGUGUUGGGGACUGUGGUCUGGAACUCCCAGUUUAUUUCAUUCCUUUGCUUUCUGCUGCUCAUUAAAAGAUCUAAAAAGAAUUAAAAUCUCAGUGGUGUGAGAUGUUCAGGCUGUCUGAAAUGGUUUUCAUUCUGCGGCUCCCAGAUUUUGUUCAGGCGAAAGGAGCUGAAGUUUUCCUGAAGAAAACCACAUUUUUCAGUAAAAACACUGAACUCUGAAUUCAGGUCACCUCAGACUGACUCUACUCAGUCCUUCCUUUGCUGUCUUAAGGUGAAGAUUGCAAGAGCACCUUAAAGGAUUGUUCUGAAAACCGUAGUAGUUAGCACUCUGCAAGCCUGCCAAAAUAGAUACUAAAUGCAAAUAUUUUUAAGCCUCCUUUUCACCUCCCAGAGUUGUUUUGCUAUCUUGUUCUAUGCUGAACAGAAACACAGGAGACUGAGAUCUUGUCUCAUUCUCGCAAACCAAUGCAGAAAUUGUGGCCUUUCAGAACACUCCUUGAAUCACUGCUCUGUGUAGUUGUAUAGUUGUGGUUCCCAGGUUUCAAAAUGGGAUAAAGAACUGGUUCCCAGCAGGAGUAAUCACAACAUAGCUCCUCUCCCAUGCCAGACAAGCUUUUCAUGGUGUGUUUUGGAAGUACAUUUUUCACAUGGGCACAACUAACUCUUGAUUUAAAAAAAUUAUUUGAAACUACUCAGGGGCACAAAUAAAUGACUGCAAGAAUACCAGAGAAUUGAGCAACAGGCAAAGGACAUGUUGUUUCCUUUAAGAAUUCUGACUAGAAAUGACGUCACUUAGAUAGUUGGGAUGUUUGUGAGCACUACAGGACUUGGAAAGGGAAAGCAAAUCGGAAAAACACUGGGAAGCUGAACAAUUUGUUUUGUUUUAUGACUCCCUGGUCGUUUAAUGAGGGAGCUAUUACUCAUGCGCUGUCACUGCACAUCUAGAAAAUUCCUCUGGGUCUAAAAACUGGCAGGGAAAAGUAGUUUCCUAAAAAACACUGAAUUAAUGAGAUAAAACCCAUUGCUCAGGAGUCCCUAACAGGAAGGGUCGGAGGCAGAGCUGUGCAGGGCUCACGGUGUGUUGGAAAUCUCCGCAGGGGAUUUCAGGGAGCACAUAGAGCUGGCAGGGAUUCAGGGAAGUGAUGCAGCAGAUACGCUCAGCAUCUGGCUUUUAGGGUACAGAACUAUGGAUUUGAGCAGAUAAAAAAACACAAGUUUGAUUGGGGCAUUGUAGCCAAUCCUUGCCCUCCAUUCCUUUGCAUCUGAAAAUAUCUAGGACUGGGGUGUUUAAGAAGGAGAUUUGUCCCCAUGGGAAGUGAUACAAAGCAAUGUAUUAAUAAUAUUGACACAUGAAGUGAGGGCUGUUGUAUUGAAGGAGAAGAAAACGAAGUAUUUGUGGUGUGGGCCUAAUUAUCCAGCUUUAAAUGAUUUUUCAUGGCUUCAUAAUCUGUAUUCCUAUGGUCUGUCAGACUUCUGACUUCUUGCUUUGAGUCUGCAUUGCUUUAUAGAUCUCUAUGGUAUUUUACAGGCAAUACAAUGCGUUUUUACUUCAGUUAUUUUAGCUGGUUUAGCCUAUCUUGUCACAUCCACACAGGAUACACAUUAUCCUCACCUUAACUGGAAACCUAAUAGAACUUUCAUGGCCCUGAGGGCAGGAUGAGGGUUGUUCCAGUUAGGUGUUAUAGAGAGCACAGUAAGCAAAGUGCUGUUCCAGUGUGGAAAUGCAAGGGAAUCUUCCUCACCAACCCCCUGACACAAUUAUUCCCUCGUAGCAGAAGUUACUGUAAUUCCUUUUGCCAAAAAAAAUGCUGAUAAGGCAGAGGCUGUUAGGAGGGAAAUCCAUAAGGAGUCUGGAAAGUGUGAUGUAAGGAUUAGUAAUAGAAUUAGCAAGCUGCUGUAGCACUUGCCUUAAAUUACAACACCUCAAACAUAACCAUCAUAAUUCCUUGUCUCACUGCAGUGCUGUGCUGUGGUCUGAAUCAGUUUUGACUUCUCCAUUACUGUCCUUUUAAGCACUUUCAGAAUUCUUCUAAUUAUUCAUUUUUCAUCAAGAUGAUCACCAAAUUUUCCAUGCAAAUACAGAAGUAGUUCAGGAAGGGUUGUGUGUUUUAAGCUUCAGAUCAAAAUGAUGCUUAGCUGUGUCCCCCUGUACAUGCACCAUGUACCCUCCUUAGAAAUAUCCAGUGCUGAGCUUUUAAAGCACAUAGAUGCUCAGUUUAUUGUAUCCAUGCUGGAUUUUUGGGUGUGGAACUCAACUGCCUGGACCAGAAUUAGGAAAUAAUUCCUACACGUGAUGUGAAAAAAGUCCUGGAUCACAGAGCAGAGCUUCAUUCCCAUUCCUGGGACAGAACGAGACUGAAAAGACUGGGGGGGGGACCCCUGAGGUGUUGAGAAGGUGGCAGAGGUAUGGAUGGCAUGUAAUUUUGGAAUCAGAAUAAGCACUGUAGAGGGAAACACUCCAGAGGGACCUUGUUUGUGACACAUUAGACAGGGAUUUGGGCAUCAGUUGCUCUCAGGUUGUGUGUGCCUGGCAGGGAGCCCGGGGAAGCUCAGGUUGAGUGUGGAACAGCCUGUUGGGUACCAGGAGCCACACAAAUGAUGCACAAACGUGUUCAGCCUCAUAUUUUGCAUCUGUGCUGCUCCAGUUUUCCAGGGUGGAGUGAAGCUGAAGGCUGAACAAGCACAGAAAGGGGCUCUCCUGCUUUUCAGGUGGUGCUUCAGUAUCCAGUGGAAGGUUGGUGACCACCAGGGCCUCUCUGCAGCCUUGUUCUAGAAAGGGCUCUGGUGUUGGCAUGGAUUUUGGUGGAUUUCAGGCUCUUCCAGGGCUCAUGGUGGUUUAUUUUAUUGCAGAAAAGUCAAGGUGAGAAGCAGGUUCCCUCAUGCCAGCUGGGACACCUUUGGCUGUGGUACAGCACAUGCUGAUGCCCCAGCAGCUACUAAAUAGAAAGUUCUAUCACUCCAGAGUCUAGGCACCUAAAUCCUGCCAAAAUCCAGGCAGUGCUGAGACAGGCCACAUGGCUGAUACCUGCAGACUCCCAGUCUCAUGGCAGGGGACACUGUGGACAGCCAUGUGUCCCUGCCUGGUGCUGCAUCACCCAUGAAACAGGACUGGCCUCCCCAGAGCUCCAGCCCUGUGCGUGUUGCGCUAACGCAAGAGACAUUUCAUGGCUUGUUACUGAAACCUAACUUAAUUUUCCCGUUAAUGAAGCUGUAAUUGAGGUCCAUUACUGUGAUCAUGGGUCAGCUGAUUGCCCUCCUUGGCUGAGGGUGCAUCCAGCACUAUUUUCCCUCUACUCUGGAAGGGUUGGUGAGUGUUAGAGGCAGACCUGACCUAACUGGGGUUGCUCCCACCUUGGCACUGAAACCUCCAUCCCAACACCCAUCCCGAGCUUUCCUCCCAGCUCUUGCUUUACACGUGGCCUUUGGAGGGCAGAUACAUUCAAGGGACUGUCAGGUUUUAUAUUUAAACACUUUCCUCUUCUAUUUUUUUCUGAAGCUUUACUCUGUCAAGGCCUGUGCAGCUGGCGUUACACAGCACAUACUUUAUUAUCCCAGUCAUCACUUCAACCGUUUAAUCCUUUUAACCUUCACAGUGGCUACAGAAGGAAUUAUGGGGAGUGAAUUUCCUCUUGAGUGAAUUUCCUUGGCCACUGUUAAAACCACAAAGAAAUCCAGAGUAGUUCCAUGAAAAAAGGGAUCUCUAGACUGAACUGUUUGCAAAGGACUGGAAGGGGUGAGAGAAAUGAGAAGUCAGUCUAGCUGCAGGGAAAUGGCUGUGGGGACACCACCAUGGGCUGGCAGCUGCCACAUUCCUGCAUCCAACUUCCCAGACCUGUUCCAACCAGAGAAAAGUUAAUUCAGAGCAGUCAGCCCUGCUGGGCAGGGAAAGGACCUUGCUGCCAGAUGCUAUUUGUGUUGUACAUUAUCUCCAUAGGUUUUGCAUCUGUCUUUCCUGCAGUUUUAUUUUUUGCCUUCAAAAUUCCCAUUUUUCUCAUUGUGUCUCGUAAUUGAAUUUGCAAAAUACUAAAAAGGGACAUUAGAAUGUGCCUGUUAACAGAGGAGAAUAAAUUAAUUACACGCUGUGAACUAACUGAACUCAUUUAGCAAUUGAUGAAUUAACUUAUGUCUACAAACAGGAGAACUUGAAUGCUGGCAGAAUAAACAGUGAAAUCUCUCAUUGACUGAAUCACGGGAAGUGUUUUUAGGUUUCUUUUUCCUUAGUUUAGUAAUGGCCACAUCUUUAGAAUUAGGAAGUUAUACCAGUCAUUUGCAAUUUAGGGUUCACCUCUGUGAUUCCAUCCUACACCACUUCCACGCUGACAUCUGCCUCCUGAAUUCAUUGGAAGCUCUGAUGUUUCCAGUUGCUUUUUCUUAACCAAAUAUUAACACUAGUUCUUCAUCUUUCCUUUUUUACACUGGUCAAACUUUCAACAGCAUCAAUCAUGCUUCCAUUUGAGAUUCCAUCCUCACUGGAUAACCGAGAUUCUGGGGGUUUUGUGGUCUUCCUUAAUAAUAUUUCUAAUGUGCCCAGUGGUGUUAUGUUCUCUGUGUGCACAUUCUGCAUCUUCUCUCUUCCCAGGUUUCCACUGCAGUAAUGGAUUUGAUUAUGCUCUCUCUCUCUCUUUAGUCAAGUCAGACCUGCACCUGUAUGCAUCAUUUUGUUUUCCUUCCAGGAUGUUUGUGUGGCUUGUACACGUGGAUUGAUAGCAAUCUGCUGCAGCUCAGUUCCGUGUCAACAAAAAGGAGCUUUCUCCCAUCCCAACCCUCUGUAAAUGCCACAAAAACACCUUUGUGUUUAAGCCUCUGUUUUAAAACUUUAUCUUCCUAUGAUGCCUGCAGUAGAAAGGCUGUUAAUCUGCCUUUAUAUCAGAUUUUAUUGCUUUAUUAGUCCUUAUGCUUUCUCUUUUUUUUGUUUAUGUCUCUCUUUCUUGCCUCAGGCAGUAAACUAGAAACCAAGCUCAUUUUAUUCUGUUUCAUGUGAAGCUUCUAGAUCAGUGUGUCUUGAUCUCUGUCCUGCUGCAGUCGUUUCCUUCCUUGGAAAUCACUGGGAAGGUAAACACCUACUGCACAAACUGAGUUUCUCAGGUCCCAAAGAAAAUCAGAACUUCAUCCAUCCUUUAAUGUUCCAGCUAUGAGAGGCUGACCUUGUUUGCAGCUUCAAAAGGUGGAGCCAGUUGUGGGGAAGAGACAAAAAAAGAUCAGGAGUAAUUUGGAUGCGUGUUACGUUUUCUGAUGGACAAGGACAUAUUUUUCUAGUGCAACUAGAGUUGUUUAAUGGAUGUUGUAGAUCAAAGCAAAACCAAAUUUCUUUUCAGAAUCCAGCAGCCCCUUUUCCCAUCCCUUGCCUGGCUGUGUUCAAUACAUGGAGCACUAUGUUGUCCUCUAAUUAGCUCUGUAAUUUCCAUGGUGUGUGCCAGCAUCAGUGUUUAUUAUUGAAGCACAGUGUCUGCUUUUAUCCUCUUGAUGUGACUGUCCUGUCACAGAAGUCACAUGCACAAACUGAGUAGUAAAAGGGGUUCAGGAGUAAGGAUUAGCAAAUAUUCUGAGCUGUGCAUGGUUGUGCAGAUGUAAUUGAUUGCAGCACUGCCAGAUGCUCACCAGUUGAUCCAGAUGAUCCUUGCUCAGCAUGCAGUGAAGAUCCCUCUCAUCUCCUGGAUCUUCCAGUCCCUAGCAUGGCUAACAGGGCAUUGAUCAAUCCCUAAAAAUCUUUAUUUUUACCAUAACCGUGUGACUUCUCUGCAUUUAAUGGAGGGAAGCUGAAGUGGAAAUGCAAACACGCAUUUAAAGAAACAAUUUUAGAAAUUCCAGGUGCUGAUCUCAGGAGGGCAUCUUGCAUAUGCUAGAGGAAUAUGUUGUUUGAGGGAAAACCUGCUUCUAAAUCUGUGCAAAUUGAAAGGUAAAUAAUUUCUGUUUCCAGUACCCUGAUGGAGUAAGAUCUCUGCACUGGUUACUUUUCCUGCUAUGAAUGUUGUGGUAUAUAAAUGUAUCUGGCAUAUGUAUUUGUCACUGUGCAGCAAUAGAAUAUAGGAAAUGAAUAUCUGUAAAAAAUACUGAUUUCUGCUUCAUAGAAUCACAGAAUUGUUUGAGAUGGAAGGGACCUUCAAGACCAUCUAGUUCCAACGCUCUGCCAUGGGAAGGGACACCUUCCACUAUCCCGGGUUGCUUGUUGCCUCAUCUGGCUUCCUUGCUUCUUCAGCAUAACAAGGAAGGCUUCUAAAGUGCUUUGUUUCACUCUGAAAAUAUUCCUGGCUUGGGUUUCAGGGUUUUUUUGCAGUGUCAUAUGUGAUGGGAGGAGUACAGAAUAUUUGUCUUUCACUGAGAGGUCCUCUGCAGUGUGUUCCUGAGGCGUGGGAAUUAAGCUGAGGUUAAAACUUGAAGUGGUCUGAUUGAACUUCCUAUCUUCCUUAAUUGUUAUCUUCUUUCUGUGUGAUAAUUUUAAUUUCGCUUCCUCUUGGGUAAUCGUGGAGUAGUCUGAGUUUGUCUUUUAUCAGACAGAAAAAAAAACACAGGCUAAUAAAAGUUUUUGUGCUGCUUACUGUUAUUUUUUAAAGAUACAGAGGAGCAGUUCCUUCCAGGUCACUUUGCAUGCUUUGACAGACAAAGUGCCACGAUGAUGUGUGGAGCAGCACAAAUUAAUCCAGUGCUGGAGAUAAGCAGAGGGGCAGCAGCGCCUGGUUUUGAGAGCUCACUUUGUAGGGACAGAAGUGGCUGUGAUCCAGCUCAUGGGACAAGGAUACAAACAGCAGGUGUAGUUUGGAGUGCUUCAUGACAGGGGCAUUUCUGCUCAGGGCUGGGAUUAGAGCUUCUAUUGAAACUUAUAUAACAGCCACGGUGCCAGGGUGGUUGCUAAAAAUGAUGCUCAUCACUCUUACAUCCCAAAAGCUGGAAGUCAGAAGAACUAUUUUAAGCUGAAGAAAUAUUUUCGGGUUUUUUUAUUCUUAAUGGCCAUUGUUUUUCUCCCAGACCCUACUGAGAUGAUUUUAAAUGUGUCAGGCAGCGGUGGUGAUGAAAAUAUGUGUUUUUAUAAUGUAAGACAUGGACAAUGAACACUGAGUUUUGUUGUGGGUGGCUGCUUCAUUAUCAUACCCUCAUUAACAUACCUCAGCAAUCAACAGGGAAUUACAUUUUUUUAUUAUGGCUGUCCUGUCCAGUUUCUAAAAUACAACAUCAGCUGUUUUUAUCCAGCAAAUGGUGAUCCAUUUGGGGGAAAAAAAAAACAAACCACUGUUUUCCUGCCCCUGCUGCCCCAAAGGUUGGUGUUCUGCAGAAGGAGCAGUCAGCUGCCAUGGUGAUGGGCACAGGGUGGGAAUGUGGACAUAAAGAGAGGGAGGCUGAAGCCAGACUGUUCCUGCUUCCUUAUGGUUUCAGUAGCCCCCUCUGAAUUGGAUGGAGACUGAUUCCAAGGAUUUCACAGGUUAUUUGUGGUUUUCUGCCUCAGAUUCUCACAAUUAGCACAAAAUAAUACUCAGGAGGAAAAAAAAAAAAAAAAAGAGUGAGAUUCUCAAGUGGAUAAUGUUUGUACAGGAUGUAUGGAUGUAUGUAAUUCCCUGCAGAGCAGCUUGUGCCCGUUGUGCUGGGAUCUGGAUGCACAGAAAUCUCCCUCCUCCCAUCCAGACUGAAGUCAGUUUUUGGUGAUGCAUAAUUCAUAUCCUGAAGCCUUUGUCACAGAAACAUCUUACUGCCUUUCCCCCAGCUUGAUAAGCCUGCUUUUGUAUUUUUAGGAUUUCCUUCCCUGCUAAUCCCCAAAAUCAGCCUGAUGAGGUUUCAAAACAGAAUUCAGAGUGGAUCUGAGACAGCUGUUACGUCAGGGAUGUUGCUCUGUGCAGCAGGUGAUUCUCUGGCACCUGCUAUUCAUGGAUUCUGCCUCCACAAAGCAUUAUUUCCCUGUGACACCACUGCCACAGUCAGUGCAUAAGUGGAUGCAGCUCAAGGGAUUCUGCCAGGAGGUUUGGGUGUAUCUUUGGAUACAUCUCACAAGGAGUGCCUACACAUAUUUUGUUAUGAAACAAAGACAGCAGGGGUUUUUUUGUGAAUUUUUGGUGAGCUCUAAUCCAAAAUCACUCUUUCCAUAGGGAGCAUGAUGUCUGUAUUUAGUGAUGGGGUAGUGGAACACCUCAAUUGACUGUUCUUACUGUGAGUGCACUCACACAAGUACAGAUUGUGAGGAGUCAUAACGUGCUUAAAAAUCUGUGUAAAACCUGCAGGAAAAGAAAACUGAUUCUCAAGUUGUGUUUUAAUUCAUCUCUUUGCAGAAAAACACAAUUCAAAUAACUUCUGGUGUUUUCUUCUUCCAGGUUCUGAGGACAAACCUGUCAGUAAUGAAUUGUUCCAGAAGUACACAAAGAAAGCUCUUACAUGGUAGAGGCUGUUUUUUCUCAGGUACAGCACAUCCCUGUCCCUCCCUGCUAUCAGUUGUUGUAAAUACCUUGUAGCCAUCAGGCCUUUCCUGCUCAAAGCUUUGAGGAGCUUUGAAAGUACAGAGAUAAAUGCAUGGUGUGCCUGCAUAAUGGGUAAAUUGGAUGUUUCACUAGUGGGAAAUAAUUGCCUUCAUUUGAGGGCUCUUUGCCUGUUCCAGAGGAUUGUUCCCCAGAUCUCUUCACUUCAUAGCACUUCUCAGUGCAGCUAAACAAAGCACAGGAAGGGUGAAGUACUGUUACCAGUGUAGGAAUCUUUUCAGUAAUGGUUUGUCAUUAUUUUCCCCCUAAAUGAUCCAAAUGCUUUGGUUUUUGUUUUUUUUUUUUUCUUGCUGUUUAUAUUAAGCCACCACAGACCUUCUGAUGAUAGUAAAUUCCAGCUGUGGAGGCUUUGAUUGUUUCUUGCACGUUGCUCAUUUUAAGAUGACAGAAUUGUUCAGUGAGAGAAAUUCAAAUGGAAAAAUUGAGGCAAACAGUCCUGUGGGGAAGGUUGAGCUCUGUGUAAAAAUCCAGUAAAACUUGAGUAAGAACCUCAGAGCUCAGUGUAUUGAUUUUCUUGUGAAAGUUCAAGAACUGUGUUUCCUUGCAGGCUGAAACUCAUCUCAGCUCCUCAUGACCAGCUGAGCAAGAGAAAUGGGAUUUGAUGCUAUCCAAGGUGUAAUUCCACAGUUCAUGUCUUCUGCUAGUGCCAGCUUAAUCAGUUUCUGCCCACUCCCAGCCAUUCAUUCCCAGCUCAGCAGCAAUGCAGUGCCACCUUCUUCCCUGACUGUGUGGAAAACCAGAAGACUGAAAAUAACUCAGUAAAGAAAAGAAACUCUUCGUUUUUUCCCUUUGUAUUAGAAUCAUUUGAAUGAAUUUCAUGGCCCACAGGCAGUCGUGUUGGUACUGCUGAAGGUGACAAGAAAUGCAGCAUCAGAGGCAGCAGUGAGCACUGGAGGGUGUCCCAGUGCUGUGUGAUCUUGCUGUCAACAAAAAUCUGCUCUGGGACCAUAUCCUGAAUGAAGGGCUUUCACUAGCCACAGGAUUAUUUAUUGAACUGCUGCUUUUCAUUUAUUUUAUUAAGGGAGAUUAACAUCUUCUUGUUAGGGCAGGUUUAUUUUUUUCUACUUGAGGAGAUAAACCAUCUCUGUGAGAAGUCAGUCAGCUUUGUGGACAGCCGUGAAUGUCAAUAAAGUCUUGGCAAACACAGUAGGUAUUUAUUCAGCAUUGCAAAUUAAAAACAUUUUUCCUGCUUGUUUAGUGAAGGGAACAAAAAAAAGACAAAUUACAGAGCGGAUGAGCUCUCUUGAUAGUUGGAAUUCAUUAAGCUGGUGGUGAAAACGCUGGGGGAUUGAUGGUGCAGAAAAAGAAAAGAUGAAGCAGCUUUUCCCCAAUAGCUGUGGCUUAAGUUCAAGUUGAAAAUGACCAAAAAAAAAAAAAAUCCCUUAAAGACAUCUGUAACUGACUUCACAAUCCCAGUUUCUGUCUGGGUAGACAGUUCUUUCUCACUGCAGUUAGUAUUAAUUGGUUUUUCAGUUGACAGAUAAUUUCUCAGUGGCUCCUCCAUCUCCAUCAUGCCAUGGGGUGUCUGCAGCAGCUCAUAAAUGAGAUCCAUGGCCAGACGUUAAGUGGGAAGUUCACGCAGUCCCUUCCCAUGGUACAGACAGAGCCUUUCUGCAGACUUGUCACUCUGUCAUCUUCGCUCAGCUCCACAUUUUAUUAUUAAAAAAAAAAUAAAUUUAAAAAGUUCCAGUAAGUUGAGCAGUUUGUCAGAUGUGAUGUUCUCACAGGCCAUUGUCUGCAGAUUCUGGCUCUGCCUUUCUGAUGGAUCGUAAAGCUGUCGUGAGUGCAGCUCUAACAAAAUCCAUUUUCACAGCUCCUGUUAUGGCAGGGCAUGGAAAGGAAGCAUUAGGACUUACUUUUUAAUGAAUUUCCUGUACAGAAUCAUUAGUCCACCAUGGAAGUCUUUCCAAGUCGCACCCAGUGCAUGCUCUGUGUGAUUAUCCCUGAUGAAUGGGAUUAAGUGCCCACAGUUGACAAUUGGAGUCACAGACAGUUCUCAUGUCAUUCCAAGUGCAGGAAUUCUGCACUUCAUCAUUAGAAGAGAGAGGGUUCCCUACUAAGUGUUUAAAUGCAGCUAAACCACCUGUAAAUCACUGGAAUUAUUCAGCAGCAAAACAAAGCCUUUGUAAACUUCAUUCUUGCAGUGCUUUAAUUGCAGACAAAACUUUACUCAUUCAAGUGAUCCCAUCAAUGUCAAAUAAAAACAUGAAUUACGAAGCUGUAAGAUUACAGCUUAAAGUCACUGACGUGUCAUUCCCAUAAUUUUCUCUGGAGGAUUACAGAACACUUAAUUUGUAACUGCAGAAACCUAAGUGUAAUCAGAUGUUCUUCCAUCUACAGUUUUUUACCUAAGUCAUUGAAUUCUGGGUUUGUUCUUUCCUGUUUCCCAAGUUCUUACUUGUAAAUGUGAAGACACUAACUGCUCUGUUCUUCUUCCCAGUUCAAGGAGGAAAUUGCCCUCAGCUCUUCGGUCAUUAAAUCUGGGAAGGAUGCAGCAGUCCAAGAUUUGAAAAUGUUUUAAAACUUCCGGCAUCUAAUUAGAAGGAGGCAUCUUGGAGCAGCACAAUAGCUGUCUAUCUGCAGUUCAUUUGGUUUUCCAAUUUAGAAAUGACAGUUUGCAGCCCUGAUGCGAGCGUGUUUCUCAUUAGCCUGUUCUAGGAACACGCAGCGUUAUUACAAGUUUUGAAAGAUGCUUUCUUCAAAAGUGCAAAUGAUAUUAAAUGGCAGAAUUUGCUCUCUGGAUAGCCACAUGGAGAAGCUGUGGUCUGCAGCCAUCCUAAUGCUGGUGGUAAAGGCAGAGCUGGACCUCAGCUUCAAAUCCGUGGAUGUCAUGGAUCCAGCUGCAUGGAAAAGAUGCUGCAGCAGGAAUUAGCCUUGUCCAGGGAAGACAGUUGUGAAUUGUCAGUGCUUUCCUCGUUUCACAGAUGGAUCUCAGGUUUCUUGGGCUUUUCCCAUGAGGAUUUUCUUGGAGAAGAAUGUGUCAGCUGUCCUGCUGACAGAUAGCCUCGUGAGAACUGUCCACACUGGCUUGAUUUAACCUCUUCAGGAGCUGGAUUCCUGGUCUGAGCUGGUUGGGUUUGUUGUCCUUGGGGUAAAUGAAGAGAGAGCUGCAUGUCAGCAGGUGAUGGAACUUGAGGAACAGGUGUAACUAUUUUUUUUUUUUUUUUACGUGGUUUUCUGCCCCCUGAAGAGGAGAUUGAGAAUAUUUGCCUGUCCUCAACACUCGACAGAUGGGUUCAUCUUGCAUGGUGGUUUAGGGUCUGGAAUGUCAGUUCUGCAAGGACUGGCUGAGGGUUGAAAAGGAGACUCAGGGAAGACCUUAUUUACCUGAAGACCAACAUUUACAGCAUUUACCUGAGAGGCGGUUGUGCUGAGGUGGGAAUUGGCCUCUUCUCCCAGGUAACAAGUGACAGGACAAUGGCAAACAGCCUCCUGUUUCAGCAGCAGAGGUUCAGGUUGGACAUGAGGAAAAAUUUCUUCGCUGAAGGAGUGGUUAAGCAUUGAAACCAAUGGCUGAGGGCAGUGGUGGAGUCACCAUCCCUGGAAAUGUUCAAAAAACAAGUGGACCUGGCACUUCAUGAUAGGGUUCAGGGGGCAUGGUGGUAUUAAAUCAAAGGUUGGACUCGGUAAUCUUGGAGGUCUUCUCCAACCUCAGUGGUUCUGCGGUUCUAGUCAACUAAAAUCAGCUUUCACAGGCCUUCCAGAGGCAGGCAUGGAACAUUCCCAGGUGUAAUAAACUGCAGGAGGGAAAAAAUGAAGAUGCUUCACUCUUCUUGAAAACACUGCAGCAAGGCAAAAUUCUGAACUUCUGCGUGGCUGAAGGAAAAAAGAGUUUGGUUCUGCCUGCACUUCAAAGCAGCUUUAUUUUAGCCAUUAGUGUUUUGUGAACCUGUGUGGAAGAUUCCCAGGCAGCUGCAUGCCCAGGGCAGAGCCCGGGGACACGGGCACAGCUCCGUCCUGCUGCUUCCUGCCUGCUCUGCUCCACACAGGCACUUUCUGGACAGAAAAGCUGCACAAUAAAUCCAGUGCUGAUGUGGCCUGGCGUGGUGACAGCUCUUCCAGUAACUGCAGGAACUGCCUGCUUGCAGAGGCCCAGCCUGCUCCGAUGGGUUGUUUUCCUUAAAACUGUUGUUCUGCACCAGGUGGGGCACACGGCGUCUUUGUGCCUCCCUCUGCCAUGCAGACACUUUGUGGUGCCUUCUGUGCCACUGCCCGGGGUGAUUUGUUCCUUUCUGAGAGGCCGUGAUGGACCUGAGUGCUUCCCAGAUGUCACUGAGAGCAGGGCUGUGCAAACACUCAAGGCUUGCUCGACAUGGCUCUGCAGAUGUGCUUCGGGUCUGAUGUUUGUUCUGCCAGCUGAGAUGAGGGGCUGCAGAGAGGUUAUGAAAAAAAGAGAGAAAAAAAACAAAACCUGUUUGAAAGGGAGUAAAUUGUCUAGAACACACUUCACUAGCAGAUUUCCAGGAAACAACCCUCUGUCAGACUUCUUAGAAGCUGUGCUGGCUCCAGGUGCUGAGUGCCAGGUCUGAAUAGCCCAUAAUAACUCAGUCCUUAACGUUAGGUUUGGAGAAAGGCUUUUCCCCUAAUUUGCAAAUCCCACCUCAGCCAGAGCUAGCUGACAGGCGGGCAGGUUUCCAGGCUCUCUGCACAACCUUUGGGAUGAGUAUUCAACCUUGGGGCACUGACGUGCAGCUUCUGUGACAUGCUGGUCUUGGUGCUGCUGCUGUUGAAAUGAAGGUUUGGUAACGUCUUAAGUGUUUUGCUUUUGCAGCAGUGCUGCCCUUGCUGGUGUGUCUGGAUGUAGUCUUGCUGUGGGCAGAGCUCAGCAGACAGAAUGUGUUAAUAGAAGACAGCAGCACAGGCAGGAUGAAGGUCCUUCAUUCCUUGUUAAAGCCUUGUACAUGUUGUUCAAGCUUGACUAACAAAAUUCCUCAGAGUGACACUGCUGCAAGCAAUUCUCUUGCUGUUGGUAGCACUGUAAUAGAAAACAGAAGUGAGCAUUUGAGUGACUCACACCAAAAUCAAGGGUAAGAAUAAGAAAAAAGCAUCAACUGUUUAACAGGAAAAAUAAAAACCCGACGUGGCUAGGUAUUCUUCUGUGGCAUUUCCAAUUUAUUGUUACAGGAAUAUCCUCCCAGCUAGACUCAAGCUCCCUCAGGAAGCUGGUUUCAUAUGGUGGUUUAGAUUUAACUAUUCAUUGUCUAGCACCAUUUGAAAUCAGUGUUCUUGGAGGAAGAAUGCCUGCCUUCAUCAGGGAAACAGACCCUCGGGAGCCUCAGAGGAAAAGAAGAGAAAGUCAAGAUCUUCUGUGUGGUUCUGCCACUCCAAUAUAACCUCCACCACUAAACAAAGUCCCUCAGUGGGACUCCAGGGGUCUGUGACCCAGGUCACCCCUGGGAGAGCGAUGCAAAGAGUGAUUUCAAAGGCAGAAAUUCUGCUGUUGUCAUGUUUAUAAUAUUUGUGAGUGGCGAGCAACAACUUCAGAACCCAAGAAGAUUUAGAGACAGAAAUGAGGCAAAAACGUAAAAUACAGAAUUGUCACUCAGUAUUGAAGAUGUUGAUUUUAAUGCCUCAGCUAGUAAAAACUACUAGAACUGGUUCAUACAGCAUGGUAAGGAAUAAGGAGGGAACUACAACGCAGCCUAAAUUCUUAACUCAAAACCUGUUUUCAGCCUUACCUAGAUCUGUUUUUCUUACCACUUCAUCACACUUGUAAAUACUUUGUACAUGUAUCAUACAAGACAAAUUUGAAGCAGGUGAUUCUGCAUUGAAGCACUGGGAGUUCUGGGUGCUGUUUGCAUCCCUCCUGUGCGUUUGGCUUUUUGUUGUGGCAUGUUUGCAGAUCAGAAUGUUACUUAUUUUGUGUGACAAGACUUGCCAGCGUGCAGUUCAGUGCUUGGAUGUGCUCACGGAAAUGGCCAGCAGCUGAGAAUUAGACCACAGCUGGUUGGUCAUAUUGUCCAAGUCUGCUGAAAUCUGGAGAAGUCUUUCAAGAUUAUAUUUUUGAAGUAUUUUACUAUACUAAAAAGUGUGUGUACCUAAUGGUUGAUGUUGAAAAUUUUCGCUGUCUAAACCUUUUGUUUUCUCACCAGUGCUUUAAUAAGAAUUAUACCAAGUAUUUGGGGAUUCUCCAAUGUGAAAUGCAGUCCA